GCGUCGGUAGUAUAACGGUUAGCAUACGCUCCCGAAAAGAGUGAGAUCUGGGUUCGAAUCCCGGCUAACGCA